rnacentral:lncRNA from 1 species
AGUGAAUUCGGAGAGCUUUGGUUUUCACAUGAUUAUCUUGCAGUAACCUUGUUGUAGUUGGCAAUAGGUCCAAAUCUCUCUACUUUGGGCUUUACAUAACCAGUUCCCAUACACUGCAUAUCUGAGCUAUUUUUGUGUGUAUUAUGCAGGUUUAAUUUGGAAGUUUGGGGACAAUUUGGAUUGUUAGCCGUGCUUGAAUGGUUGUCAAUUUGUGGCUUUUGAUCGAGGGUUGGUUAUACUUGAACAGACAUCAUCAAUAAUCUUUUCUUCUGAACUUAGCUUUGUAUUGCUAAAGCUUAAAAAUUCCAGCUGAGUUACUUGAUUUUCGACAACGGCAGAUCUACUGCUUGUAGAGUCAGAUUUGGCUACAAGAGUUUUUCGUCGCCAAGUGAAGGGAAGCCUUGUCAGCACCAAGGUUCAAUUCAACAGUGUGCUCCUCUGCAAAAGUUAAGGGGCAGGUUGCUACUCUGAG